ACACAAAACCUUAUAAACGUUUUAAAAUUCACAAGGGACGACGAGUCUUUGAACUAAGAGGUUCUUUCAGGAAUGGAAACACAAAUUGCCAAAAAACCACAGAUGUUCACCACGUGAACAGGUGAAAAAAUACUACUCUUUCAAAUAUAUUUAUCAAAGUCUUUUCUGCCUUCCUGUAAUUUCAUUUUAAAUGGGCCUUCCUUUUCAGCUGUUCUCUACUUAAACUACCUAAUAAGUAAGGACAGAUUGUAUGACUACAUUAACA
rnacentral:lncRNA from 1 species